GUAACAAGGUUUCCGUAGGUGAACCUGCGGAAGGAUCAUUAUCUAUAACCGGGUGUGGCUGCGGCCUCCGGGGGCGUGGGCGUCGAAACGAUGCCCUCUCUUCCGGGUGGUAGAGGUAAAACUCCCACGCGCCACAUGUCUGAAUCCUUUUUUUACGAGCACCUUUCGUUCUCCUUCGGUGGGGUGACCUGCCGUUGGAACCCAUCAAAACUCUUUUUUGCAUCUAGCAUUACCUGUUCUGAUACAAACAAUCGUUACAACUUUCAACAAUGGAUCUCUUGGCUCUGGCAUCGAUGAAGAACGCAGCGAAAUGCGAUAAGUAGUGUGAAUUGCAGAAUUCAGUGAAUCAUCGAAUCUUUGAACGCACAUUGCGCCCCUUGGUAUUCCAUGGGGCAUGCCUGUUCGAGCGUCAUCUACACCCUCAAGCUCUGCUUGGUGUUGGGCGUCUGUCCCGCCUACGUGCGCGGACUCGCCCCAAAUUCAUUGGCAGCGGUCCUUGCCUCCUCUCGCGCAGCACAUUGCGCUUCUCGAGGUGCGCGGCCCGCGUCCACGAAGCAACAUUACCGUCUUUGACCUCGGAUCAGGUAGGGAUACCCGCUGAACUUAAGCAUAUCAAUAA
rnacentral:misc_RNA from 1 species